rnacentral:rRNA from 1 species
GAUGAACGCUGGCGGCGUGCCUAAUACAUGCAAGUCGAGCGAACAGACGAGGAGCUUGCUCCUCGGACGUUAGCGGCGCACGGGUGUGUUACACGUGGAUAACCCACUUAUCAGACUGGGAUAACUUCGGGAAACCGGCUCUUAUACCAGACAAUAUAUUGAAAUGCAUGGUUCAAUAGUGAAAGACGGGUUUUCUGUCACGUCUAGAUCGUACCACCCCGCUUUUGCUGGUUGGUAAGGUAAAGGCUUACCCAGGUGACGAUGCGUAGCCGAUCCGAGGGGGUGAUCGGCCACACUGGAACUGAGACACGGUCCAGACUCCUACGGGAGGCAGCGGUCGGGAAUCUUCCGCAAUGAGCGGAAGCGUGACGGAGCAAAGCCGCGUAAGUGAUGAAGGUCUUCGGCUCGUAAAGCUCUGUUAUUAGGGAAGAACAAAUGUGUAAGUACCUGUAAGCGUCUUGACGGUACCUAAUCAGAAAGCACCGGCUAACUACGUG